rnacentral:rRNA from 1 species
GGCAGCAGUGAGGAAUUUUCUGGAAUGGGCGAAAGCCAGACAGAGCAAUACCGCGUGAGGGACGAAGGCCUACGGGUUGUAAACCUCUUUUCUCAAGGAGGAAGAACUGACGUUACUUGACGAAUAAGCAUCGGCUAACCCUGUGCCAGCAGCCGCGGUAAUACAGGGGAUGCAAGUGUUAUCCGGAAUUAUUGGGCGUAAAGCGUCUGCAGGUUGAUAUUUAUGUCUUUUGUUAAAUCUUUGGGCUGAACCCAAAAACUGCAAAAGAAAGUAUUUAUCUUGAGUAUCGUAGAGGUAAAGGGAAUUUCCAGUGGAGCGGUGAAAUGCGUAGAUAUUGGAAAGAACACCAACAGCGAAGGCACUUAACUGGGCCUGUACUGACACUCAGAGACGAAAGCAAGGGGAGCAAACGGGAUUAGAUGCCCCGGUAGUCCUAGGUGUAAACGAUGGAUACUAGAUGUUGUGUGCUUUCGGGCAUGCAGUGUCGUAGCUAACGCGUUAAGUAUCCCGCCUGGGAAGU